UGACUAUCCUUGAUUAUUACUCUACCUGUGCAACCUAUCAGGCAAUAUGGCAAAAUCAGUUGGAGUUAUUUUCCGAUUUGAGGUUGGGUUGCAGAUACAAAUUCCAACUCCAAGUUUCUUGUGUAUGGUGUGGGAUGCCCAAGGCCUUACCUGUGGAGUAUGUUUGGAUUUGUUUCUAAUCCAUUGUGGUUUUGCUGCGUGGUGAAUUUGGUGGUCUUCUUUGCGAAUGAAUGAAUUUCUUCAAGGUUUGUGUUCAUUUAUUUACUCUUAGAGUGCAACCUGUUAACUUCAUAAAGGAAAAAGAAAGAAAGAACAGAAAAUAUAUCAACAAAUUUCUUGUCAAUUACUUUCUUUUUGUAAGUUGUCAUGGUUCCGAGUCUUGACUCAGGUUGUUUUACUUUUCUCAUGCAAACUAUUCUUGUGGCUCAUUCGGCUUCCCUUUGCAGCACAACAUCCACUUUCUGCAAGAAGUUCUGCAACAUCGAAGGGAUGGUGUGAGGGAAGGCCAGUUCAAUCAAAUUUUGAUUUAUGAGUUGGAUGCAAUUAGGAAGGAUGUAGCUACCUUGGAGCAGCAACCAAGCUGCACAUUGUCCUUAGAAACAUCCCUUUCAAAGCAUAAUGUAUGUUCUGUAAAAUAAA